GCAUCGGCCCAACGACAUGGCUGAAGACAUCAGUCCAGGGGUGUCUGCCCCAGGGAACAGCAUUCUUUAGAUACAUUCAUUUGGAUUAAGGGAACAGAGGUUACAGACUAGGAGCAAAUUCUUCCUCCCACUAGAGUCCACAAACAGUUCAGCUCUUGAAUGUCUAGAGCCCAAGGGCCUUUGGAGGUUCUGGAGAAACAGACAGAGAGAGCAAUGGAAUCGGAAUCUCAGCGUCGUCUUCGGCUGCGGCACAAACACGGGCCCGCGGGAGGUGCCUGUGAAUACUUCUCCACUGAGUCGAGCUGAACAGAACCACGCUUACCCAGUAGCCACCUGGAUUUCUGUUGUAGAGAGUCCUUAUCAUGGAAGCCUGGUCUACCGUCCUUUCUGGAAGAACAUCAGGGCCUCGGAAUAUGGCUUUUUCUCAAUCACCACUGAGUAGCCUGCCAGCCAGAAGAUACACCUCGACUUGGUAAGGGAGCCCCGAUUCUACGAGGAUCUGCACCUGGGUGUAGGCUUUCCUGCUGCAGCUGUUUAAAAUUCUUUGACAUUCCUCCCAUCCAAAGGUGGGAUCUAUGUCCCUCCCCUUGAAUCUGAUAGUCUUGUGACUGCUUUGAUUAGUAGAGUACAGAGAAGGUGAUUCUCUGUGACUAUCGAGGCUUAGUCAUAAGAAGCCCCACAAUCUCUGCUGGCUUCUCUUAGAAUACUCACUCUUGGAACCCAGCUGCCCAAGAGUGACACCCAAGCCACAUGGAGAAGUUACAUGUAGGUCUAAGUCGGGCAGUCCCAGCUGAGCCCAGCCAUUGAGUCACCCCAAUGCCAGUGCCACACAUGUGAACCAAGAAGGCUCUAGAUAACUUCAUCCCCAACUACUCAGGUUCCCCACCCUCUUCUCUGUCAUCUACCUUUCCCACCUGAAGCCCUGGACAUAGUGGACAUUCCUGCUGUACUCUGUCCAAAUUCCUGGCUCAGAGAAUCUGUGAGCAUAGUAAAAUG